GAUGAAGUAAUGUUGUCGUCAUGGGUGAACAUAGGCCACGCUACUGAUUCCACAGUCAAAAAUCUUGAGGUGAUUAGCUGUUUGCUGCCUCUGUAUCAGUGGAGAUUGCUUCGCCACCUCCCUUGCCUCCGGGUUUUAACGAUUGAGGACUGCAGUGAUAUCUCAGAUGACUAUCGCAUCUCACAUGACGCUCACCGGAUUUUCUUUGCCAUCCCACGUCUCUCACGUCUCUCAGCUCUCACAGUCAGGCCCGGCCCUGAGGGGGUCGAGCUGUGCGGCCAAUCUGAGGACUGCAGAUCGAUAAGAUUGAUGUCCUUUGAUCCAGAGAAAGAGGCCAUACCAACUCUGGCUGAAGCUGCUCCACUCCAAAACUUCAUGAGCCGGACCCUGCGGCAUCGGUAGCUGACAUUACCCAUCGUCGUAGUGUCGCUGUGUGUACGUACCGCACACGGUGCCACCGCCGCCGCAACACGAGGGGCGUCCUCAUGAGUUGGGUGUGCCUCCAUUGGACACGCCACCCAUCCGCCCUCGCCCCAUUUUGAAGCGGUGUGCGCCAGCUAGUCUCGUCGGUGUGGUACUUUUGCGUCGCCAUUCUCGCGUGAUUCGUCGGUUCACGGCGCUGCCGGCCAGAUUAAUUAGCAGCGGGGCUUUUUUUUGGGUUGCUUGACGGGUUCAAAGGAAAGAACAACAGCCCAGCCCAGAAUGGGUAUGGGUACACCGCGAUCGGAGCCUUCAGCCCAGUGUGUUGUGGUCCGACGGUUUCUGGUGUUGGUUGGGCUGCUUCUUCAUUCUCCUCUGCGGGCCUGGUGCUUCGAGCUGUGCAUGUUUUUGUUUGCAGGGUAAAUGCAAUCGGAGAACAGCAGGAUUUGGUUGGUUGAGCUGAGAGCAUCACGUGCGAGUCUAUCUACCUACCUGGUUGCCUGCUUGUUCUUCGCCUACGAAGCCACAAGAGAUUGCCUGGUAAAUUGUUGCUGAAUUUACAUGUGGACAUAGUCACAUUCUAAAAUACUAAAACCUGUAAUUGAAUUUGUCUCUUGGCAGCCAACUGCGGCAAGGGAGGUGCAGACGCCCCUCGGCCCUGCGGCGGUCCAAUCCAUCGAUGACGCACAGCCUAUCAUGGUCCGCAACCCCCCGUGUUUCUUUGAUCCUCCUCCAUGGCAUUUCAGCUUUCGUAGUCAUACCAUAUCUAUUUGGCCUAACUCGAUCCACCAUCCAUGCUUCUCUUCUGUUUCAUCAGAUUGUCCCUAUCCUCCGAGCAGGCCUCGCUUUCGCAGAGCAAGUGACAUCCAUUCUGCCGUCCGCAAGGAUUUUUCAUCCAGGUCAGCAAGAUUUUUUCUGUUCUUUAUUUUUUUUUGCCAAUGCCAAAUCAUCCAUUGUAGUAUCCAAGUAGCUAGUCAAAUUUCGUGUAUGAUCCUGCAUGUGUUUUGCUUAGACCUCAGAGCAUCCUUCAAAACCGCCACGAUCAGCAGAUGCAGUCGUGCAGAGUUGCAGACACAGUAAUGCUAAAUCCAAAGUUCUGGUCUUUUUCAGUCGUCAAAAAUUUACAUUAAGAUGUACCUUACUUAUUUCGAUCUCCUCUUUACAAGCAAAUAAAGUUCAUACGUUUUCAUCUUCCUGUAUCAUUAUUUACUAAUGGAGUAGUAUCUUGUUGACUCAUCCUAUUUUUUUUAGGGAAGACUCAUCUUGUUUUAAUUUAUAUUAAUGAAGGGAUGAGCAGGAAUGAGGAAACGCUGCUGCCAGCAAUUUACCUGAACAAGUAGGUGACUACCAAAAUGCUUUAAUUUCCAUGCAACACUACUUGUAACAUCUGUCCCUGAAAAAUCAAGUUUUGAUGCUCAACUGUUGUAGGAGUCAUUCAUUUAUGCCUUUUGUUUCCCCUUACAUGGACGCAGGCUGCCUGCCAAAUUCCCAGGUGGAUGCCACAUCUUCCUCAUGGAUCCAAUGCUUGCAACCGGUAUAGUUUUUUAUCUUCCUUAUCGCAGCAUUGCACAAUGCUAGAACUUUUCUCUCUUGUUACGUUAAUAAUAGUUCAUUUUUACCUUAUUCCUACAUCCAUAGAGAUUAACUUCAGAAAAAAAGAAUUGCAAAUUUCUAUUUCUUAUGCUAUUAGUAUAUAUCAGCUCUGGUGGAUACUAGCAAUGAGAUCAGAGUGCUAUUGUCUUGUGACAAUGGUAGAGUUGGUGACCUCCUCUGAAUGAUAUCUCACCUGUACAUCAGGUGGAACAAUGGCGGCAGCAAUCAACCUGAUCGAGGAUCAUGGAGCUAACAUCGAGCAGAUAGCAGUUGUGAGUUCAUUCAUUCAACCAACUAGUAAAUCCUUCCCUUUGCCAAAUGUAUAGGAGUAUCAGAAUACGACAUAAGCCAUCCUUGCCAUUUCAGAUAUCCGCAAUCACUUGCCCUCCUGCCAUCGAAAACCUCAGGCAAUUAUUCCCAGUUCCCAGGGUACGUUACCAAUACAAAAACACCAGUACUACAUCCCAACAUUGCUUACUGGCACUGCUUCCAGUAUUGCCUCAAAUUAAGCUAACCUUGGAGCUACUAUUUUUUUUCUCAGGAUUCACGUGUAUGUCGCUGCAGGUUGAUCAUGUCCUGAAUGAGAAAGGGUAGCUUCGAGAUAUCGCACAGAUAUAUUCGUAUAUGGAACUAAAUUCUAAUCAAAUGCUGACUCGCAGAUUUAUGUCUUUGGGUGUUGAUGCUUCAGGUCCAUGAUCCCAGGCCUUGGAGAUGCUGGAGACCGAAGCUAUGGGACCUAGCUAAUGAUCUAGAGCUCGAGAGAUGCAGCUGGGCCUGGGCGCCUGGCUGGCUUAUUCAGAAUUGAAGCAGAGCAAGAAUGUAGCCAUGGGGGUAGCCUGAGAAGGGCAUCUGCUCGUUGUAAAAGGCACCAGCUUGACUUUGUGGCAUGGCACCGCAAAUGAUAUGAGAUGCUCACAGUGGGAGAAUUUAAAUAAAUUGUUGCUAUCAUAUGCAAAAAGCAAAAAUUAGGUCCCAUUUGGUAGGCUUCUCAAAGUGCUUCUCCAACAGCUUUUGGUGAAGCCCUACCAAAGGGCCAAUUUCAAAACGGCUUCACCACCAAAGCCAGGGAGAAGCCGCAAAACGGCUUACACUAGAGAGAAGAAGCCGAAAAAAGUGGCUUCACCGGCUUCUCUCUCUCCAAGCAUUAAGUGAUCAUAAAAUUACAUAUAUUGCCAUUGAGAAGCCAUUUUACUAAACGUUUUGCAAAAUGGCUUCAGCUUCACUAAAAAAGCACUCUACCGAAGGAGCCGAAGCCGAAGCCAUUUUAUGAGAAGUCGAGACCUUAGUAUCCUGCUAUGUAUAUCAGACUAUCAAUACAGUCGUCAGUUGAAUGAAGGUGAUAAGAAAAGUAGCCGCGAGAUAAAGUUGCGUACGAGUGUGCAAUGAUUGGCCGUGCCUUUUUCGUGUUAGGCGCUUAAAGGAAGUAGGCCCUUGUUUACUUUGCGAAUUUGGGAGGUGCCAAAUUACUGUAGCAACACUGUAGCAUUUCGUUUGUAUAUGUGAAUUAUUGUCCAAAUAUUGACUAAUUAGGCUCAAAAGAUUCGUCUCGCAAAGUACAAUAAAACUGUGCAAUUAGUUUUUGAUUUCGUCUACAUUUAGUACUUCAUGCAUGUACCGCAAGUUUGAUGUGAUGGGGAAUCUUCUUUUUGCAUAGUGCCAAAGUUGGGAGUUUGGUAGGAAGUGAACAAGGGCUAGAAAUUGUCCAGAUGAGGAUCUUGGAACUGAAAAUCUAAAGGGAAAAAUAAACCGACGCGAAAAAAAAAGAAAUGGAGAAACGACAAAAAUCUCAUGGGAGAUUGAAGGAUGGUGCUCCCUGUUUGCUUGGCGGAGAACAAAGCUCCUCAUGGCACACACCAAAACCGAGCAUUGGCGUUGCUCGGCAUCUUGCCUGAACACAACCUUGACGCAGUUCGCGGCUGCCCCCCUGUUGCCGUAGCUGGAGGGUAGCGAUGGCAGGAGGACGAGACGGACAAGAACAUGGAGGCGGCGACCUGCGGGUGCGGACUGGUCGAGGAGGCUGGGCUCGAGGCGAUGAGGUCACUCGCGAGCGUCGGCAACCAGCAGACCGGUGACGGGAAGGACGGCGCGGGGACGUGAGGAUGCGACCCAUCCCCGAGCCACGCUGGCCGCGGACGCGCCCCGGCACGCCACACGCGGAUCCGGUGGCCGCGGCAGCAUCCCGGCCUCCCGCCUACGCCAGGGCCGCUGCCCCGCGCCGCUUUGCCGCAGCCGCACCCUGGCCCCACCCGCCCCGCACGUCGUCCGCCGCCGUCGCGCGCGAGGACGUGCUGCGCCACGGCCUGGAGGCAGCCUUGCGCUGAAUCCGUGCCGCCGGCGUCAGCCCAGCCCGACGCGGCGCUGGAUCUGGGCCUCGUGGGGAUGAGAGAGAGGGGAGAAGAGGAGAGAUGGAGGAGGAGCUACCGGUGGCGGGCGACCAGCGGGGCGGCGGGACGAGGCGAUCGGGCCCGGCGUGGGUGUGGGCGCGAGCUGCCCUGACUCGGCGCGGCAAACGGGACGGCAAGGGAAGGCGGCCUGCACAGGGGCAGGCACGGGGGGCAAGCGGCAUGCGGCACACCCGCGGCGACCGCCGCCUCACCCCGCACAGCGCCCGCUGCAGCGGCCGUGGCGAUGUAUCCGGUGGAGAUUCUUUCGCAGUGGAGAAGAAACGGAAGAGCUCGAGAGGCUAUAAGGAUGUAUGGAAAUUCGAAUUAUUCGUAUUCCUGUCUAAAAUGUUAAUAUGGAUAUCCGUAAAUACGUAUUUGAUUUUAAUAUGAAUCGUAUCUGUCUAAAAUGUUAAUAUGGAUAUCCGUAAAUACGUAUUCAAUUUUAAUAUGAAUGUCAAAUGGAUAUAUCCGAAUUCGAUUUCAAUAUUUUUCUCUAUCCGAUUAAAGAUUCGUAUUCGAUAAAAAUGUGAAAUAUCCAACACUAUCCGUAUCCGCGAAGAGUAAAGUACCCCCAUGAAAUCAUCUAAAACUUAUUUCUAUGACUAAUUACUGAUGAUAAAUGAUGUUAACUUUAAUAUUACUAAUAAAGUAAUUGUGUACACCAUUUCAAGUAUUAAAAGGUUAUCUAUUUGACAAAUGACUAAUUAUGUUAGUCUAAUAUUACUAGUGAUAUAUAGUGAAUAAUGAUAAUGUUUAGCUAAUUUUAAUGUGGCUAAUCAUAUUAAUUUUAAAUACAUUAUCCUAUUUUAUUUCAUGAAUAAAUUAUAUUUAUAUGUAUUACUGUAGUUAUUUUCUUAUUAAAUAAUUUAUAUAUUUAUGGAAUUAUUUAUUUAAAUGAUAUUCAUUUGAUAUAUAUUUAAUAAUUGAAAUAUUUAUUAAUAAAUAUAUUAUUUUUAAUAAGCUAUCUAUUGUGUGCUAUCCUCAUAAUUUUAUAAAACCAUCGAAAAAACAAAUUGAUACUCGAUAUGACGCUAUGUUCCAACUUCCAAGUUGAGUAAGUAUCCGAAUGUGAAUUUAGAUUCGAACUAUUCGUUUUGUAUUCGUAUAUGAUAUGAUUCAUAUCCAAAUUCAAAUUAAAAUAUGGUAAAUAGUGCUAUCCGAAUUCGAUUCCAUGCGUAUUCGAUCCGAAUCCGUCCCUACUUCCAGUGCGAUGAGGACACGUAGAUCUAGGACCUCGGGUUUGAUUUCCUAGAAACACGAGGGCUUAAACAAAAAAUAUCCGCGCCCGCUGCUGGGUAGCUAGCCGUCGGAUCGCGAUCGGACGGCGGGAAUUGUUUUUACUGGUGUGGCCAGCCUGCCUGCGCGCCGACGGCACCACGAAUCAUAAGGAGAGAUUAUGCUUGUAUUGGAUUCGUCAAACUCAUGCAUAUGUGCUGUAUAGUUAAAAGACUCAAGGUCUGCAACAACAUUGUUUUGUGCUCUCAUGCUCUCAAUGGUAAAUACUCAAAAGGGUCAUGGAAUCUACAAUGACCUUGUUUCGAUAUCCUCAUGGUCAAAGUCUGAUCUGGACGUGAGAACCAAGCAAAAGCGUUAAUGUUUAGGGAAGGUGUGGUUGUAAGCUUGCCCCCUACGGACUACAAUACAAGUUUCGCACUCUAUGCUUGUCCUAAAGAAUUUAUUAUUUUCUGUUAGUAGUAGGCAGCAAGCUCAUUGAUAUUGAGGUGCCAAUGGCUUCAUCGAUGGAUGUGUACUCUUAGGCCUUCUUCAACAAUACUAUAUAAGUUAGCUCAUAGAAAUCCACCUUAUCAUUUUGCUUCCAUGGAAGAGAGAGAAUGUGAGGAGAGAAAGUGUGUCAUCUCUUCUUCAAGAGAUAGCUCAUAGAAAGAAUUGGACUUCAUGUUUUAUUAAUGUGAAAGAGAUUGUGGGAUCUCAUAUGUUUUGAACAAUGUGCUAUAAGAUAGAUCAUUGGAGAAGUAAUAUCUUUGCUAUCUUGAGGUGGAUAUGUUUAGAGCUUGUGCAUUAACUCAACCAUUGGAGAAGGUCUUAUACGAGCAUGCAUAUGCAGAGAGAUGAAAUAAUUUUAAUCCGGGUGCAUGAUGGUUCAAGUUGGAAGUUGGGGCAGGCCAAGCUAUUAUCGAUCAUUAACAAGAUUCUCUCCAAAAAGGCGGCACAGAUCUCUAUAAGUGUAUUAGCUCUUGUUAGGACAUGUACAACGGUAUAGAAGAUCACUGCCUGCGAAUAUUUACCACGUCACACACAGACAAUAAAAGAUAGUUUACACAGGACCUGUUCGCUCCAGCUUAUAAGCCGGCUGAAAAGCUGAAACGGCUGAUUUGUUAUGAGAGGAAAACACUGUUUGGUGGCUGAUAAGCCGACUGAAUAAGCUGAAGCGAACAGGCCGACAGUAAUUUGUGGUCUGUAAACUAUUUAAUUCAUGCAUAGAUCCAUAAAUCAUGAUGAUCAAGUAGAAUCAUGAUCUUUGUAUACCAUAUUGUUGCUUAUUUGACGAAAUACAUUGUGUAUACCAUUGAGAGAGUACACCUUAUUCAGAAGGGCUGCAACGUAACUUUUUGUUUUUAUUUAUGCCCUUUUUCCUUACUACAAGAACUCCCCGUGAUUUCUAACUCUACUAACGCUUAUUUUGUAAAAUGGCAAAGAUAUUUUGUCGAACUUCCUCAUCUCUCCCGUUGACUACUCGUAUCGAAACUCUCUCUCUCUCUCUCCUCGAUCUCUCGAUCUGGCGAUGCUGCCAGCGGCGAGGCACUCCGGCAGGUUCCAGCGGAUCGUCAUGGGCGGCACGGUGUCCGGCAGCCAGCGCGGCUCGGCUUGAGCAGCGUAGCGCGGUGGCGGCAGCGUCCGGCGUGGCUUGGGCAUCGGGAGGCGCGGCGGGCCGGCGGGCUGGUGGCGCGGAGCAAGCGGCCAGCGCCCACGACGAGCACGCAGCGGUAGGCUACUCCGCCUUUGCUGAUUUUCCCCGCCAAAAGAAGCAUAGCCGCAGUAGAUCACAGAUCAGGCAGCGCUGUUGCCGGGACGAGAGGAUGCAUAUUGCUUCUCGGAGCAGGAGCGCCUGCAUGCGGCAUGCCGUCGUCUCACCAGACGACGAUUCCCUUCUCCCUCUUCAUUAAUCAGUGUUCAUGUUGAUUUGCUUAUGUAGAGCUAUAAAGAUGGCAUCAUCUCUGGGUUGUACAUGGAUUCACGCACACUAGUUUACUUUUUUAUGGCAGGGUAGUAAUAUCAAAGACGGAAGUGAGAGAGAAGGAAGAGGAGUUACCGUUGUUUUCUCUGAUUGGUGGGCCCGUCAUGGCUCGCUAGGACGCGCUCGCGUGCAAACUUGUUCACUGCACACGAUCUGUCACCAGUGCUGCUUCUCGUUUCAGGUACGACCUUAAUCUUGCGCCUAUUGUACCCCUACUCACUCUUGGGGGGGGGGGGGGGGUGCUUACUGGUAAUAAGCUUCUCUUCAUCUGAUCCGUAUGUGGUAACAUGUUGAUAGAAUGCUAUUCUUCUGUUUUCCCAGCAGAUCAGCAUAUCUCUCCUCAUUUGCUCAUUAAUUUGUACCAGCACAAAAGAACAAGCUACAGGGCACAAGUAUGGAAGAACCAGUGGAGCUAACGUUUCAGGAUUUACGAGAAAUUACAGAUGAUUUCUCGGAGGAGCGGAUAGUUGGGGCAGGAGGAUUUGGAAUAGUUUACAAGGUAUGGUCUGGGCCUGCUUGUGAAUAAAUCUGAUCUGAGACAUUGAGACAGCAUACCUUUCUGCCUCACUAGAUAUUGCUAUGCAAAGUGGGCGACAUACAUACUUACUGCUAAACUUUUUGCCGCACCUUAUCAAAUGUGGUAAUACUAUGCAAUAACAAGCAAAACAAAGCCAGGACGAUUGUUAUAUUUUUCUGCUUAUCAAAUAUAAUUUAAAAAUCAGUAUGUAUAAAUAUGCUGAACUUACAUUAUUGAGUGGAUAUCACGUUUCUCUUACAGGGAGUGACUAAACAUGGAGUGGAUGUUGCUGUAAAGAUACUUCGUCGUGGCAGUAAUCCAGAUCUUGACUUCAAGCAGUUUCAAAACGAGUUUUAUAACCUCAUGAAGGUCAAGCAUGAAAAUAUUGUACAAUUUCUUGGUUAUUGCUAUGAUAUAGAGACAACACGUAGCGAAUGCAAUGGAAUAAUAGUGCGUAUUGAGGAGAUACAUGGGGCACUCUGCUUUGAGUAUAUGCACAAUGGGAGCCUUAAAAAUCAUCUUUCUGGUAUGCUUCUUCUCCAUUUUCAUUGACAUGGAAAGAAAUGUUCCUGCAUGUUUCCAUUCAGUUGAUUGACAAUCCUUCUGUUUGCUACUGCAGAUGAGUCUUCCAGACUUGACUGGCAUACACGGUACAAAAUUAUUAAAGGAACAUGUGAAGGUUUAAGAUAUAUUCAUCAGACAGAAUCUCUUCUACACCUAGACCUAAAACCUGACAACAUAUUACUAGAUCAGGACAUGGUGCCAAAGAUUGCGGACUUUGGUUUAUCCAAGAUCUUUGGUGAUGAUCUAACAAGGACAACAAAAAGUCCUUUAGGAACACCGUAAGUCGAGUGCAUCAUGUGAAUACAUCUUUUUCUAAUCACAGAAUUGUUCAUGUAUUACAAUUGAAUUCUUCGCAUGUGAUGCAUUGCAGUGGAUUCCAGCCACCAGAAUUCAUCGACAAAGGAGAAAUCUCAGAAAAGUUCGACAUAUUCAGCUUGGGUGUCAUAAUAAUAAAGAUAGUGUCAGGACCAGAAGGCUACCCCAAAUGCCAAUACAUGCCUUCGGAAGAAUUUAUUGAUCAGGUGAGAAAUGACGUUUCUUUCGAAUAAGAUCAAAAUUUUAAUAAGAUGAUAUGUCAUAUUCAAAUUUGGAUUGUGCUAGAGCCCAUCUUGACAGCCCAAUUUCUCAGGUCAAAGGAAACUGGAGGAAGAGAUGGCAGACAAGCAGUAUCGAUUCCUUACUUGAAUCAGCAUGGUGCCGCCAAGUAGAGACAUGCACUAAAAUAGCAUUAUUGAACUGCUUGGAGAAAGAUAGCCAAAAAAGGCCUCAUAUUGUCAAGAUCAUCAAUAUGUUAAAUGAGACAGAAACUAAUAAUUAUGAGGUAAUCAAUACCAUAGCUUUCUUUUAUGUGAGAAUUUUGUUGUAAAGGCAUAUAGUGAAAUAUAUAAACUAAUUUAUACGUGAAAACUGACAAAUUGUAGCGGUAUAUUAUUUUUAUGACUACAAUUUGUUUUGCCAUGGCAAAUGUUUUAGUGGGCAAUAUUUUGAAAGUUGGUUGCAAUGUGAAAAUAUCAGCACCAUGACUUAAUAGUUUGUUCUAAUAAUUUUUUAUUUACCUAUUGAGACAUUUUCCAGCCAAUACUGCAUUAAAAAGGGGUAUAUAAAAACUAAUAUAAUUUAAAUAUUACACAAACAGUACCUUAAAUUUGAUAGGAAUGCAACUAAUUGAAUAUAAGAAUUUAAAGUGUCCAAAAUUUAUCCUUAAAUACAAGUAUUCUUGAAAUUGAACAUGCAUAACCCCACAAGUAAUUAUCAAUUGACUUUUGUUGUAACUUGUGAAAUAUGAUUAAUUUUGUUGUAACUUGUGCAAUGUGAUUUGAAGGGAGUACAAGUUUAGGCUACUUCCAAUGGGUUUGUAUAAUGGGUAUUAAGCGUGUGCCACAUAAGCCCCUCUGUUGAUGUGACUAGUAAUUAAACAAGAGAAAAAUAGAACAAAUAAAAAAUGAUGUAGUAGUUUUCACCAGAUCACUGUUCGAAACCAAUGGACAAUCCAUACAAUAGUUAAUCGAUUUCUUAACAACACCAUGAUAUCGCACAUUGCAAAGGCUGUGCCAUUCUUUCUUCAUACAACAUGGCAUUGUUGGAGAGCGUGAUAUGAUACAAUGGAUUGAGUAGCCUUGUAAAAGAACUUUCCUAUGCAUUUUACAUGCAUGUUGUGUUCUAAUAAAAAACAGACGUGCACUAAUAAAUAAAAAAUAUAUGGAUAUGCAAUGUAAAUGUUGUGUUCAUAACAUGGUUCAUUUAUGCAUUAACUAAAUAUAUGAAAAAUAAAUAAUACUAAUGCACAAAAAAUCAGCCAAUAUUAUAUUAUCACUCACACACACAUACAUGUAAGAAUCCAUAUGCACCGCUCUCUUUUAGCAAAUGCAAUUUCAAGGCAUCUUGCUCAUCUAUUUAUGAACCGGUGAUGAAAACUCAUCACCACAUGUUUGAUUUAAACAGGCGGUGAAAGGGAGUAUGAAAAAAUGAUUUCGAUUGGGAAAAGGUAUAUUUUUCAUCCCUCAAGUAUUGUAAAAGUGUGGCAUUCAUCCCUCAUAUUUUAUUUAUGCAAAUCAACAUGUGCAUUUAUCAUCCCCACCUUAGUUUAAAAUUGGUUUAGUGUUAUAUAACACCGGUUUAGGCCAUGUAAUCAUCUUACUAACUACUGCUUAGCCACAUCUAAUGUUGAGUCAAUCGCUAUAAUAGUUGUCGAACCAGUUUCGUUAAUUUUUCUGUUACAAUUAUGGGAUAGACAAUUUAGAGGAUUUAUUUUUUGGGGGGCAUUUAUAUCUUCGACUCAACAUAUUACAUUACUAAGCAGGGAUUACUUGGACGAUUAUGUGGCAUAAACCACACGCCAUUAGAUAUCACUAAACCAUUGUUAAACUAAGGUGUGGAUGAUAAAUGCAUGGUUUAAUUAGUUAAGGGGUUGAUUUGCACCAAAUGGAGCAUGAGGGGUGAAUGUCUCACUUUUCCAAUACUUGAGGGAUGAAAAAUACACUUUUUCCUUUCUAUAGUAAUGAUAUUUUUUCGAUAAAUUAUAAAGUCAGUUACGCAUGGCUCGCAACGCCUUGGGAGAUACUAGAGCAGGCCCCGUGCGUGGAACCAUGACGGGUCGUCGACUGAAGGUGGAAGCAGACCUCUCAGCCAGCGGCCGUACACACGAGUAUGCAUGGCAACGCACUUCCUGCUGGCACCUGCUAGCUGUCUUCUUGGUUGUCCUGUGACUGCCCUUUGUUAUCGUUGCUCCGGCCCUUGCAAGGAAGGCCAGCCAUGUAUGUGUCUGACCAGUGACCAAGUGUUGCCGCUUGGGCAAACCAUUCAUCGUCCUUGGCUGCCGGGUUCCAUAGUUCCAUCCCAGUUCUGUGUAGUAGGUGCAGGGGUUGAGACUUGAGAGGACGUUUUGGUCACUCAUUACAUGUGCAAACUGAGCAGUUUUCAUUUUCCGUUUGGAAAAGCAUGUAUUAAUAUUCUCGCACGGUUUGUGAGAGCAAUAGUAGACGUCGAUUGGUUAUUUGCAGUUACUUGUGGUUACACUGAUGUAAAUCAUCAGUGUUUGGAAAAAAUAUGAGCAGUUAUGCUGCUAUCAGACUGAUUAUUUUGCAUUGUUGUCGAUGUGACUAUAUAACAGGUCUUCGUUUGUUGUCAACAUUACAGGAGAGACAGAUUUUUCAGCCUCCCGAGAAUGGACACAAAACUGUGUGCGGGACGACAAGGCAUAAUAAGAUGGAGCUGAUAGAGGAACAUAAAGUGAUCACUGAUGUUGGGGAAGAUCUAAUUGUAGGCAGGGGCGAAGAGGAAAAUAAAAUAGUGGCUUCUUUACUUGAGAGCAUCAAGUCAGCGAAGAUCGUCAUCCUUCCUAUAUAUGGUAUUGGAGGAAUUGGCAAGACAACCUUUGCGAAACUAAUUUACAAUCAUACAAAUUUCAAAUAUUACUCUCACGUCUGGGUCUAUGUGUCCCAGAGAUUUGACUUAAAGGAAAUUGGUAAAUCUAUAGAUUCACAGCUAUCUGGGGAGGAGAACCAAGCUAAUGAGCAGCUAAUAAGUAAGGAAAUUCUGAUUGUCUUAGAUGAUUUUUGGGAGGAUAAUCCAAUUAAAAUAGAGGAGUUGAAGGAUAUGCUAUAUCGUGGUGAUAGCAUUAAAACAGUCAUUGUUUUAGUAACUACACGGAGUGCAGACAUUGCCCAGAAAAUUUGCAGAAACAUUGAACCAUAUCAGAUAGAGUCCUUGACAGAUGAAAUGUGCUGGGAUAUAAUUAAAGAGAAAAGUGGUUUGAAGGGUGUACAUGGCAAAGAAAAUGAAAAUUUGGUGGAUAUAGGAAAAAAGAUUGCCCAGAAGUGUGGAGGUGUGGCCUUAGCAGCUCAAACUCUUGGAUUCAUGUUGCGGUCCAUCAAACACGAUGAAUGGAUCACAGUGAAAAACAGUGAUAUCUGGAAUGAAACUAUUUCAGAGGAUACCUCUUUGCCGCAACAUGUUCUUGCAUCCUUGAAAUUAAGUUAUGCUUUCAGUAUGGAUGACUUCUUGAAGAAAUGUUUUACCUAUUGUGCAAUCUUCCCAAAGGGUCACCGGAUAGUUAAAUAUGAUCUAAUCUACCAAUGGAUUUCUCUAGGUUUCAUUAUGCCUACGAAAAUAUUGUCCACCUUGCAGCUCUGUGAGAAGUAUAUUGUGCGCCUGCUGGGACUGACUUUCCUUCAACAUUCAACAUCAGCAAAGGUGAGUUAUCUAUGGCUACUAUUACAGGCUUUUUCAUGUUAUCUCCUUGUAACAAUUGAUAUGUAACUUAUGUAAUACGCAUUUUAACAAUAGAGUAGGCCAACAUGAACUAACAACGUAGCAGGAGUUCAGAUUGGCAAAACAAAAUGUGAACAGCAUUUGUUUCCGAUAAAUACUCCCCCUUAUUACAGUACGCUUAAACCACAGCGAAGCUUUUACAUAUGCAUCUUUUAGCCAUUUCCUGCUCUUCGAAGUCAGUGCUGGAAGAGGAAAAUACGUGGAAUCACUUUGUUUUGAAUUGAGAAUUCAAUGUGAAAGCACUGUAUAUGUGAUCCUUUUAUUUUAAACAUUGUGGAUGAACCACGUGGCACACUACUACAAAGACCAUCAUCUGUGCCCGCGCUUAACCAUCAUUCGUACCAGUUUCUAGAGCCUGCACUACAAGAAUGGCAUGGAUGAGGAUCUUUGUCCAUGCCAAGUAAAAAGGUGGAACGGAUAGUUAUUGAUACCGGACCCUUAUAAGGAGCUAGCACGGAUACUCAAUAUAUCAUCGUCCUUGUUUUAGCGCUGGUAGGAAUAUGAUUAUAUUGCUUCGGUUGUUUUUUAGGGACCGGUAAGAAUAUUAGCAUAUCCUUACUGGUGCUGAUCUACGAGACGACAAUAUUAUUGUUGGUUGGUCCAAAAAAAUACAAAUUUUAGAUUCUUUCAUAUUAUCAAACACUAAAUAUUAGUACCUGUUUGGUUCUUCAACAUCCACAGCACGAAAUUUAAACUAACAUCAAAUUAACUAUAACAACAUAUGUGCACGGCCAGCCUCAAGAAGCUGAGAUUAGGCCUCACUGGUGACAAGCUUCUUGACGCGGUGGAAUAUCUCAUUAUCUCAUACUCGUUCCACCACACCCAGGAGUGGCCAUGGAACCUGGCCGUGUCCUCAGGCAAAGGAAGCUUGACAUAGAAGACAUGGCCAUGAUCAUCAUCGGGCACUAUCUUGCAAUUGUAGUUCCCCAUCACCUGAGCAACGCAGACGCUUGAGGUGAUGAAGGGCUCGAAGUGGUUCCUUGUCAUGUAGGCGAUUACGAUGAGAUUUUGACCUCCAUCCCACACCCGAAGCUACUGGAGCACGCGGCGAGAGACAAUCAUCUCCUCAACUGGUGCCAUCGCCGCCAUUCUCUGCCUCUCCUGCAGCAUUGGAUCAUCAUAAGGUCAAUAAUAAAAUCAGAAAAACAUGGAGCAGAUGAUCGGCAUAAGAACAAGCUGAUAAUAGGCAACACCUAUGGCGAUGAUUGAUGAUGCUGCAGAUGAACAAACUAGUAGUGCAAGUGCCAAGAUUAAGGCUGGAUGAGUACACAGCAGUAGCUAUAUAUGCGGCAACAAACUUGCAGUGCAAGAUGAAAGCCUUCAACCUUCCGGGUUCAUGAAUUCACACUGCACACGCUCCGAGAGAAGCUGAUGAGUUAUUCCUCUUUGUCCACUAACACUCGUAUCGGUCAAAAUUCACACCACUACAUUAAAUAACUAUUCUAAUCGGUUUAAUUCUAAGCCGGCUAGAAUAUACAAAUAUAUGUGCUGGUGCUAAAUUCCACCGGCAUGUUUGUGUAAUAAAAAGAAAAAAAGUAAAGCAAAUAGAAUACGUGCAAAUUAAUUAUUUACAUAAAUUGCAACCAGUUCAUUACAAAUAAGUACAUAUAUAAAAUUUAAUUAAAUACAACUGAUCAAUACAUCUGCCUAGGAUGUCCGGCUAACUCAUGGUCACUGUCAUGGAUUCGGAGUUUCUUCAUCCGCGUGAAAGCAACGAACUCCUUGUAGAAACACCAGGCGUGACCAUGCAGUUUGUUGACGUCCGUAGAAAAUGGAAGUAAGGUGAUGUAGGUGUCGGCGAUGGCUGCUCCCCCAUUGUCAUCGUCCUUUGUGAUCUUCCAGUCCUUGUAUGUGCCCAGGCACGUGCUGAUGCACAUGCUUGCGGUGACCAAAGGAUCGAAGUGAUGCUUCAACACGUUGGCAACCACGACGUGAUCCUGAUCACCAUCCCAGAGGUACGUCAAAAUGCUACAGGACGCGGCGGGAGAUGAACAUCUCCGCGAUAGGCUGGUGGCGGUAUCCUUUGGCGCGCCAUUGCUUUGAUCUUCUUGAAAGAGGGGUAAGUAGAAAUGCAGAGAUGGAGAGAGAGACUUUUGGAGUGUGAGUAGAUCGUGCAGGUACUUGGAGUGGUUGGGCCUUUAAAUAUACAGGGUGGAAGGAUAUGAAGGGCUUGAAUUUCUUGAUUUCACACGCCAUCGUCAAAGAGACCACAGUGGUUCAACUCUUCUCUCUCAACUUCACACCCCGCCAUCAAAAGAUACCUCUUCAACUCCUCUCUCGACUAUCGCGCGUGUAACCAUUCAAAUUCGUCCCAAUCGGUCAAAAUUCAAACCGCUAUAUUAAAUAACUAUUCUAAUCGGUUGAUUUUCAAACCGGCUAAAAUAUUGAAAUAUAUCUGUCGGUGCGUAUUGGCAUUGGUGCGUUUAAGUAAACUGCCGGCAUGAAACAACACCGGCAAGUUUAUAUCUUUAUUUGUGUCGGUUCUUGUUUGCGCCGGUGCGAAUAGACUAAAUGCUAUACAUUUUAAGUAGUGUUGAGGAACCUUACACUAUGUACUUUUGAUGCAGACUUAUGGAACGUAUGGUGAACAUGACACCUUCUUCACUAUGCACGACCUGGUGCAUGACUUGGCAGUUUCAGUCCUUGGUGACAGAAUUCUAUAUCAGAGCAAACAAGGCAACGAUGGGGGGAGCAUCUGCCGCUAUGCAUUGCUCCAUGACAGUAGCAAGCCACUAGAGUCAUGGACGACUUUUCCUGACAGGCUAUGGGCACUGCAUUUUCUGAACUGUCAGUGGAUCGAUGUACAUGGUGCUGCAUUUGAACUUGGUGAGUCCUUGCGAGUGUUGGAUUUAAGCGAGUGCUCGAUACAGAAGUUGCCAGAUUCUAUUGGUCUACUGAAGAGGUUGAGGUAUCUUAAUGCUCCAAGGAUCCGGGAACAGAUGCUUCCAGAAUGCAUCACUAAGCUCUCGAAGUUGAUGUAUCUCAGUCUUCGCGGAUCUUGUUACAUCCUAGAACUACCAGAGUCGAUUGGGGAAAUGGAAGGUCUGGUGCAUCUUGAUUUAUCAGGUUGCUUGGGAAUAAAAACACUGCCAGCAUCAUUUGGUAAUCUUACAAGUUUGGAGCAUGUGGAUUUUGCAAAUUGCAAAAAUGUCACAGGAGUAUCAAAAUGCCUGGCUAGCUUUACAAAACUGCAACAUUUGAACUUAUCAAACUGUGAAAGUAUUGGAGACUUACCAAGAGCAUUUGGCAGCCUCACAGAAUUGCAAUACUUGAACUUAUCAGACAGCUCAUACCUUUCUGGAAGAAAACUUACUAUGCCAGAGUACCUGGGCUCACUCACCAAACUCAAAUAUCUAAACCUGUCUUCAAGUAAUAUCUAUGUAAACCUGUCCCCAGGCAAUCAACAGCAUCAGCUCGCCUGAAGCUUUUGGUAGCCUCACUGAACUCAAGUAUUUGAACUUGUCACAUCACCGUUUUAUGGGAAAAUUGCUACCAUCGUUUGGGAAUCUUUGUAACUUGGUGCAUCUUGACUUAUCAUACUGUUAUCCUGUUCGAGGUCUUCCAGGAGCUUUGAAUGGGCUUACCAAGCUCCAAUAUUUGGAUUUAUACAAGUGCUCCGGUUUUGAUGCCAUGGAAUGGCUACAAGACGCUUUUGGUAAUCUCAGUGAACUUCAACAUUUAAAUUUAGGCUGCUGCAUCGGAAAAGUAUCUUAUCAUCCAGACAAAAUAAAUGCUCUCCUGGGGUGGAUCUGUAAUCUUACCAAUCUAGAGUACCUGAGUCUUCGUGAGAAUGAUACCAUUUAUAGCAUACCUGAAACUCUUGCUAACCUGAGGAAGUUACAUACACUGGACCUUUCGUUUUGCAGUAGCCUGCAGAGGCUGCCGGCAAGUAUAUCUGAAAUUGAAAGCUUGAGGUUUCUAUAUACUAUGGAAUGUUGGAAGUUGGAUAGGUCCACCCUGCCUAGUCAAUGCACGAGCAGCUCAAGAAUUCCACCGCAUUUUGUGGCCCAUACUGGUGAUGGUGAAUCUAGCAGCUAUGUUUUUCAGUACGAGGAUGGAAAUCCUGCUUGGCUAAAGAUAAGUAGGCUUGAAAAUGUGAAGUCGGCAGGAGAGGCACGUACAAUAAAGCCCUUAGAGAAGACACAUAUUACACAAUUAGCAUUAGAAUGGACUAGAGAUGCAAAGAGAUUAGUGGAAGACGCAGAAGUUCUGAGGGAACUAGAGCCACCGCGCAGGAUUUCAAUGUUCCGCCUACAUGGUUAUAAUAGCGUCAGCUUUCCAUCCUGGGUGAUGCACUUUGGUGCUUAUUUACCUCAUCUGACAUUUUUUGAGAUGCGGGACUUGCCCAAUUGCAACAGCCUACCACCACUUGGUCAGUUACCAAACCUCGAGGAUCUGGACAUCGGAGGAAUGGACAGCAUUAAGGAGAUUGGCGCGGACCUGUACGGGGGACCAAGAGCAUUUCCUCGACUCGAGCACUUUCGCAUACAUGGUAUGAAAUGGCUGGAAGUGUGGAACACGGUCAACUCCGUGUUCCCCUGCCUCAGUUACGUAUCGAUUAUUGAUUGCCCAAGAUUGAGGUUCAAAGGACGCCCGCCACGAAGUAUGCACGACAACUUGGAGUUGUCUAUACGCCGUAGUGAUGAAGUAAUGUUGUCGUCAUGGGUGAACAUAGGCCACGCUACUGAUUCCACAGUCAAAAAUCUUAAGGUGAUUAGCUGUUUGCUGCCUCUAUAUCAGUGGAGAUUGCUUCGCCACCUCCCUUGCCUCCAGGUUUUAAUGAUUGAGAACUGCAGUGUGAUCUCACAUGACGCUCACCGGAUUUUCUUUGCCAUCCCACCUCUCUCACGUCUCUCAGCUCUCACAGUCAGGCCCGGCCCUGAGGGGUUCGAGCUGUGCGGCCAAUCUGAGGACUGCAGAUCGAUAAGAUUGAUGUCCUUUGUGCCAGAGAACCUGUUCAAAAUUUCAGGUGGAGCCAGCUCUACGUGACUUUGGGCCAGUUCCAUAUGAGUUGGGGUGUCCUUCAGUUCAAGAAAAGGGCCAGUUCUAUAUGAGUUGGAGCUGUCUGAUUGGCUGGGAUGGUGUCCUCAGUUCCAGAAAAGAAAAGUUUAGAGUAGAUUGUCAUUCUUGCCCUUGGUUCGAAAAUACAUUGUUCUUUGAUAAAAUAAAUGACUUGAACUAAUUCUCACAAAUACGAAAUGAAAGUACAUGCAGUGAAGUCCAAAAUAAUAAUAAAUUACAUGUCAUUUGCUUAGAACUAAAAUUACAAAGUAAGUUCAUAGUUAUAAAAUAAGGUCGUUACAAUAAUCAUCGCGCUAGUUCCAUAUCGUUACGAGGAGG
rnacentral:lncRNA from 1 species